UGAAUACGAGAUGCUACGGCGUCGAAGCAGUGUAUGUCAGACUUCCAAGAAAAGCUCGCAAUGUCAUAAAUAAAGAAUGCCUGUACCAUAACCGACACAGGUGGGUAGGUAGAGUAUACUAAGGGGCGCGAGAUAACUCUCUCUAAGGAACUCGGCAAAAUAACUCCGUAACUUCGGGAGAAGGAGUGCCUUCUUUAAGAAGGUUGCAAUAACAAGAUCCAAGCAACUGUUUAUCAAAAACACAGGUCUCCGCUAAGUCGUAAGACGGUGUAUGGGGGCUGACGCCUGCCCAGUGCCAGAAGGUUAAAGAAGUUGGUUAGCUUUUGCGAAGCUGAUGACUGAAGCCCUGGUGAACGGCGGCCGUAACUAUAACGGUCCUAAGGUAGCGAAAUUCCUUGUCGGGUAAGUUCCGACCCGCACGAAAGGCGUAAUGAUUUGGAUACUGUCUCGGAGAGGGACUCGGUGAAAUAGACUUGUCUGUGAAGAUGCGGACUACCUGCACCAGGACAGAAAGACCCUAUGAAGCUUUACUGUAACUUGAAAUUGAAAUUGGACUUUAUUUGCGCAGUAUAGGUGGAAGGCGUUGAAAGUAAUCUUGCGGGAUUAGUGGAGCCAUCAGUGGGAUACCACUCCUAUAAUGUUAGAUUUCUAACUUUGGAUCAUGAUCUGGUCAAAGAACAGUUUCAGGCGGGCAGUUUGACUGGGGCGGUCGCCUCCCAAAUGGUAACGGAGGCGUACAAAGGUUUCCUCUGAACGGGUAGAAAUCGUAUCUAGAGUGUAAAGGCAUAAGGAAGCUUGACUGUGAGACCUACAAGUCGAGCAGGGACGAAAGUCGGUCUUAGUGAUCUGACGGUGCUGAGUGGAAAGGCCGUCACUCAACGGAUAAAAGUUACUCUAGGAUAACAGGCUGAUCUCCCCCAAGAGUUCACAUCGACGGGGAGGUUUGGCACCUCGAUGUCGGCUCAUCGCAUCCUGGGGCGGUAGUACGUCCCAAGGGUUGGGCUGUUCGCCCAUGAAAGCGGUACGCGAGCUGGGUUCAGAACGUCGUGAGACAGUUCGGUCCAUAUCCGGUGUAGGCGUUAGAAUAUUGAGAGGAGCCUUCUUUAGUACGAGAGGACCGAGAAGGACAUACCUCUGGUGUACCAGUUAUCGUGCCAACGGUAAACGCUGGGUAGCUAUGUAUGGAGAGGAUAACCGCUGAAAGCAUCUAAGUGGGAAGCCCACCUCAAGAUGAG
rnacentral:rRNA from 1 species